rnacentral:rRNA from 1 species
ACAGAGGGUGCGAGCGUUGUCCGGAAUUACUGGGCGUAAAGGGCCAGUAGGCGGCCAACUAAGUCCGACGUGAAAUCCCCAGGCUUAACCUGGGAACUGCGUCGGAUACUGGAUGGCUUGAAUUCGGGAGAGGGAUGCAGAAUUCCAGGUGUAGCGGUGAAAUGCGUAGAUAUCUGGAGGAACACCGGUGGCGAAGGCGGCAUCCUGGACCAUUACUGACGCUGAGGAGCGAAAGCCAGGGGAGCAAACGGGA